CGGCGGACGGGUGAGUAACACGUGGAUAACCUACCUAUAAGACUGGGAUAACUUCGGGAAACCGGAGCUAAUACCGGAUAAUAUAUUUAACCGCAUGGUUCAAUAGUGAAAGACGGUUUUGCCGUCACUUAUAGAUGGAUCCGCGCCGCAUUAGCUAGUUGGUAAGGUAACGGCUUACCAAGGCAACGAUGCGUAGCCGACCUGAGAGGGUGAUCGGCCACACUGGAACUGAGACACGGUCCAG
rnacentral:rRNA from 1 species